AUCUUCGGACCUUGCGCUAAUAGAUGAGCCUAAGUCGGAUUAGCUAGUUGGUGGGGUAAAGGCCUACCAAGGCGACGAUCUGUAGCGGGUCUGAGAGGAUGAUCCGCCACACUGGGACUGAGACACGGCCCAGACUCCUACGGGAGGCAGCAGUGGGGAAUAUUGGACAAUGGGCGGAAGCCUGAUCCAGCCAUGCCGCGUGUGUGAAGAAGGCCUUUUGGUUGUAAAGCACUUUAAGCGAGGAGGAGGCUCCUUUAGUUAAUACCUAAAGUGAGUGGACGUUACUCGCAGAAUAAGCACCGGCUAACUCUGUGCCAGCAGCCGCGGUAAUACAGAGGGUGCGAGCGUUAAUCGGAUUUACUGGGCGUAAAGCGUGCGUAGGCGGCUUUUUAAGUCGGAUGUGAAAUCCCUGAGCUUAACUUAGGAAUUGCAUUCGAUACUGGAAAGCUAGAGUAUGGGAGAGGAUGGUAGAAUUCCAGGUGUAGCGGUGAAAUGCGUAGAGAUCUGGAGGANAUACCGAUGGCGAAGGCAGCCAUCUGGCCUAAUACUGACGCUGAGGUACGAAAGCAUGGGGAGCAAACAGGAUUAGAUACCCUGGUAGUCCAUGCCGUAAACGAUGUCUACUAGCCGUUGGGGCCUUUGAGGCUUUAGUGGCGCAGCUAACGCGAUAAGUAGACCGCCUGGGGAGUACGGUCGCAAGACUAAAACUCAAAUGAAUUGACGGGGGCCCGCACAAGCGGUGGAGCAUGUGGUUUAAUUCGAUGCAACGCGAAGAACCUUACCUGGCCUUGACAUACUAAGAACUUUCCAGAGAUGGAUUGGUGCCUUCGGGAACUUAGAUACAGGUGCUGCAUGGCUGUCGUCAGCUCGUGUCGUGAGAUGUUGGGUUAAGUCCCGCAACGAGCGCAACCCUUUUCCUUAUUUGCCAUCGGGUAAUGCCGGGAACUUUAAGGAUACUGCCAGUGACAAACUGGAGGAAGGCGGGGACGACGUCAAGUCAUCAUGGCCCUUACGGCCAGGGCUACACACGUGCUACAAUGGUCGGUACAAAGGGUUGCUACCUCGCGAGAGGAUGCUAAUCUCAAAAAGCCGAUCGUAGUCCGGAUCGCAGUCUGCAACUCGACUGCGUGAAGUCGGAAUCGCUAGUAAUCGCGGAUCAGAAUGCCGCGGUGAAUACGUUCCCGGGCCUUGUACACACCGCCCGUCACACCAUGGGAGUUUGUUGCACCAGAAGUAGGUAGUCUAACCGUAAGGAGGACGCUUACCACGGUGUGGCCGAUGACUGGGGUG
rnacentral:rRNA from 1 species